rnacentral:rRNA from 1 species
UACGUAGGGGGCGAGCGUUGUCCGGAUUUAUUGGGCGUAAAGAGCUCGUAGGCGGUUCGGUAAGUCGAAUGUGAAAUCUCCACGCUCAACGUGGAGGGGUCAUUCGAAACUGCCGUGACUUGAGUACGGUAGGGGAGUGUGGAAUUCCCGGUGUAGCGGUGAAAUGCGCAGAUAUCAGGAGGAACACCGGUGGCGAAGGCGGGUCUCUGGGCCGAUACUGACGCUGAGGAGCGAAAGCGUGGGGAGCGAACAGG